CUUUUAUCAGGUUGCAGAUAUGAUUUGAAACCUUUUCUUUUUAAUUAAUGAUGCGCAUAAUAUAUAUAGCUUGGAAUGGAAAACAGAGCAUGUCUGUCUUCCCGGGAACAUUUGGAACAAGUGUAUCCAGAAGCAUGUCUGUCCUUUGGAUGAACAAGACUUGAAUGGGGUGAGCUGGGAUGAAGUGUAUUAUUCAGAGCACAUUUGAAAGGCCAAGGACUUUACUGAACAGACUAUUAAUCCUGUAAAGACAAAAAGUAUAUAGUAUCAUGUUUCAUUAGAGGGGUUUUAAUUAGCCCUCUAAUUAAUUAGUGGGUUUAUUAUGCAACAAAGGCAGAUAGAAGGAUGCAACAAAGGCAGAUAGAAGGGCCGCCGGGCGGCCCUUAGCUAUACGUAUGUGCACUAGCGCUAGGUGAGAUCCAAUGAUAGUAAGCACUUAGGCACACUGAAAUUUAAGAAUGCAUGGAUAAAUAAAUAGUCAUGUGAGCGUGUGUGUGUGUGUUUCCAACAAGCUAAAACAAAGUAAGUUUGACCA